AUGGCUCAGGACGAACGCUGGCGGCGUGCCUAAUACAUGCAAGUCGAACGGUCUUUCUAUGGAAGCUUGCUUCCACUGAGAAGAUAGUGGCGAACGGGUGAGUAACACGUGGGUAACCUGCCCAUAAGAGGGGGGAUAACAUCCGGAAACGGGUGCUAAUACCGCAUAGUUUUCUUGAUCGCAUGAUCGGGAAAGGAAAGACGGCCUUUGUGCUGUCGCUUAUGGAUGGACCCGCGGCGUAUUAGUUAGUUGGUGAGGUAACGGCUCACCAAGACGAUGAUACGUAGCCGACCUGAGAGGGUGAUCGGCCACAUUGGGACUGAGACACGGCCCAAACUCCUACGGGAGGCAGCAGUAGGGAAUCUUCCGCAAUGGACGAAAGUCUGACGGGGCAACGCCGCGUGAGUGAAGAAAGGUUUUCGGAUCGUAAAACUCUGUUGUCAGAGAAGAACAAGUUGGAGAGUAACUGCUCCAGCCUUGACGGUAUCUGACCAGAAAGCCACGGCUAACUACGUGCCAGCCGCAGC
rnacentral:rRNA from 1 species